rnacentral:tRNA from 1 species
AAGGGGUUAGCUCAAUGGUAGAGCCCUGGCCAAGGUCAAAGACGGGGGUUCAAUUCCCUUACCCUUUCCA